rnacentral:rRNA from 1 species
UACGGAGGGUGCGAGCGUUAAUCGGAAUUACUGGGCGUAAAGCGUGCGUAGGCGGCCCGUUAAGUCAGAUGUGAAAGCCCUGGGCUCAACCUGGGAACGGCAUUUGAAACUGGCGGGCUAGAGUUAGGUAGAGGGAAGUGGAAUUCCGGGUGUAGCGGUGAAAUGCGUAGAUAUCCGGAGGAACACCAGUGGCGAAGGCGGCUUCCUGGACCCAAACUGACGCUGAGGUACGAAAGCGUGGGGAGCAAACAGG